GGGGUCGUUUUUGGAUUUGACAGCGGUAGCGGUAGUCAAGUGUCAGCAUGCAGAGGGUUGGAGUGAACCUCUAUAAUAUCUUGCUUCGAACUAUAAUUGACAACACGUCAUACGCACUUGCUGCUUAAUUAACGGAAUGUUAAUUGGCUUAAUCGAUUUGAAGCAUAGUAGGAUCGACAAGUACUCUCUUCAAGCCUCUGCUCAUUAGGUUUGAUAUUCGAGAGUUCAAACUUUUGAGCUGGCAACUGUGACAAUUCUAAGCAGGUGUAAGACAACAGAAUUUAAGUGUUGAGCUUGGGUGUUCAUGUCCGUCUCUUCAUCGAAAACCAAUUAUGAACUAAGCAUGUAGAAAGCUUGAAAACUCAUCGUUUGGACGAGGGUUCGAACCCCUCCGACUCCACUU
rnacentral:tmRNA from 1 species